CCUACGGGAGGCAGCAGUGGGGAAUAUUGGGCAAUGGACGAAACUCUGACCCAGCAACGCCGCGUGAAUGAUGAAGGUCUUCGGAUUGUAAAGUUCUUUUCUAAGGGAAGAAGCAAGUGACGGUACCUUAGGAAUAAGCCACGGCUAACUACGUGCCAGCAGCCGCGGUAAUACGUAGGAGGCAAGCGUUAUCCGGAUUGACUGGGCGUAAAGGGCGCGUAGGUGGUUUGACAAGUUAGUGGCGUAACUCCGGGGCUCAACCUCGGCACUGCUACCGAAACUGUCGGACUUGAGUACAGGAGAGGCAGAUGGAAUUCCUAGUGUAGCGGUGAAAUGCGUAGAUAUUAGGAGGAACACCAGUGGCGAAGGCGGUUUGCUGGACUGUAACUGACACUGAGGCACGAAAGCGUGGGGAGCAAACAGGAUUAGAUACCCCAGUAGUC
rnacentral:rRNA from 1 species